rnacentral:rRNA from 1 species
AUUGAACGCUGGCGGCAGGCCUAACACAUGCAAGUCGAGCGGCAGCGGGAAAGUAGCUUGCUACUUUUGCCGGCGAGCGGCGGACGGGUGAGUAAUGCCUGGGGAUCUGCCCAGUCGAGGGGGAUAACUACUGGAAACGGUAGCUAAUACCGCAUUCGCCCUACGGGGGAAAGCAGGGGACCUUCGGGCCUUGCGCGAUUGGAUGAACCCAGGUGGGAUUAGCUAGUUGGUGAGGUAAUGGCUCACCAAGGCGACGAUCCCUAGCUGGUCUGAGAGGAUGAUAAGCCACACUGGAACUGAGACACGGUCCAGACUCCUACGGGAGGCAGCAGUGGGGAAUAUUGCACAAUGGGGGAAACCCUGAUGCAGCCAUGCCGCGUGUGUGAAGAAGGCCUUCGGGUUGUAAAGCACUUUCAGCGAGGAGGAAAGGUUGGUAGCUAAUAACUGCCAGCUGUGACGUUACUCGCAGAAGAAGCACCGGCUAACUCCGUGCCAGCAGCCGCGGUAACAC